UUCAGAGAUAGUUGUAGGUUCUUCUUUUUCACGGAAGGGUAUCACCAAUUUUGUCCACGUCUGUACAUGUUAAAAUUUAGCUGUAAUAUGGCUGUGUAUGUGUGUUCAAGAUCAAUGUUCUUAUAUUUCAUCAUUUCUCUUCCAGGCUGUGUAAGUGUAAUCUGACAGAGGAAAGCUGUAGAGUUCUGUCCUCAGUUCUCAGCUCAAACUCCUCCAGUCUGAGAGAACUGAACCUGAGUAUCAAUAAACUGCAGAAUUUAGGAGUGAAGCUGCUCUCUGCUGGACUGAAGAAUCCACACUGUACACUGGAGAUACUGAGGAUGUGGUGCUGCAGUAUUACAGAUGAAGGUUGUGCUGCUCUGGCUUCAGCUCUGAGGUCAAACUCCUCAUCACACCUGAGAGAACUGGAUCUGAACUGUAAUAAUCCAGGAGAAUCAGGAGUGAAGCUGCUCUCUGAUCUACUGAAGGAUCCACACUGUAAACUGGAGACACUACACAUUACAAAUUAUAAAUUCACAAGGACUGGGGUAUGACAGGAGUCUCACCUCAGACCUCUUUUCCAGGAUAAAGCAGUUUUGGUGAAGCGUUAGAACCCGUCCCACAUUUCCAGCAGUUUGGGAGCUGAAUCAUUCAUAUUCAGAUGUAGAAGUUCCAUAACAAUAACCGGGACUGAUCACAUCCUUUUAUCCACUCAGCUACAAGUUACUUCAGGCUUUAAUAAUAUAUUUUACAAUCCAAAGUCAAAUCCUUCAGCAUCUGCACACAACACAGAGAUAUCAUCACAUCAUCACACUGAUUACACAAAUACACAUCCAUGUGUUGUAGCUGUUUAUAGCUUAUUUUUAGCUCCUUACAGUCAAAAAAUUAGGACACCCCAUUAAAUAUUCAGUUCUUUAUUAAGAAAUGUCAACAUCUCAAUUUCUGAUCUUGUUUUAAUUUGUAUCUGUAGAUGAAGGUGAUGUAAUUGCAUGUAAACAACAAAAAAUCACUUUGUUUUCAUUUAUUAAACAAAAGACAUCAACAAAAAUGAGUAUUUAAACUGAGAAAACGUUAGGACACCUGGAGGUAAUUUUAGCCAUUUUAAGUACAAAUAAAUGUGGGGGUGUCCUUACCUUUUCCAAGAAAUUGGAUUUUUUUUUUUAAUUACAUUUUACUGAUCAUUUUAAAAAGACUUUUCUUUGGUUUUAUUUGUUUAGUUAUAUUACUUGAAUCUCCCAAUAUUGUUAAAAUGAAGAUCAAAUGUCCAUAUGUUUAACUAUGUUAAAAAAAACACAGGCUUUCAUGGUGUGUCCUAAUUUUUUCACAUGAUUGUAUAUCUGUCAGGUUAAUCAGAGUGUGUUUCUGCUCAACAUGGCUUCAUUCAGUGACGCAUUUUUUUCUCCACAGAUGAUUGAUGCAAAGUUGUAAUAUUGAUUUAAUCCUUUUUUACUCAAAGAUUGUUCCUUGUUUGCUAACAUGUUUAAUGGUAAUCAUGGUAGUUUGACUGUUUAAGAUAUUUAGAUUUUUUAAACUAAAAAAUCUCUGAAACUCUUUAACUACAUGCACUGUAUGUAUUCGUGUCAUUUAAUACAGUUUUGUAGAUAUGUGGUGUACAUGUCAUUUACACUAUGUGUACAAAAUAAACAGUGACUGUGACUGAAACACAACAGUUCAGGUGUUUGAGGACUGUACUGUAAUUACACUUAGCAUGGACCACUACCAGGACUAACACGUGUUCCACCACACUGAGAAACUUCAAUGUUGUGUCACGACUCGUGAACGCUGAGCUGGACUUUCUGACUGUUCAUGAGGAAUCUUCUUGUAACCAUGGUGACAGUGACAGUCUCACUGUCAGGAGUGUAGGGAGUAGGAAUUAGCGCGAGUACAGCCUGGGGACCAUGUAUGGAAAUAAAUUUGUGCCAAAACUAAACAUCCAAAUCUAGCAUUUCACAAACACAAUCUGCUUUGCAAAGGAAAACUCAAACAAACAGAAAGUGAUUUGUAAAUACAAAGGGCAAAUAUAAAAAAAAUAUAAGCCUACAUCAUAUUUCACAAAUAAACACAAUCCAUUCUACAAAUCUUUGAACAAAUACAAAAUCCAAUGUAUACAAAUGCAGCUGAGCAACUUCCUCUUCCAGAACAGCAGUUGGUGCUAUUUGUCAGUGUACACUAGUCUCCCUGGAGAAGCUUUACAACACACAUGACAUUACGCCCAGGGAUACAAUUUCAAGUUAAUAGAUAUUCAGGUUGAACUUUCUUGAUUUCUCUACUCUAAAUAAAAGUUUAAAUGAAUUGGUUUAGACACUUCAUUCUACACCCAAAUUCUCUACGGAAUUUUAUACUCAAUUUUAUUUUCUCAAAACUGGUUGGUCUCAGGUUUCUCUUGAUUUCUACUUAGAAAAUUAACAAAAUUCCUCUGAACUUAUCUUGCUUUCACAAACAAAUGUUGCUGGCCUCUAAUUUAUGGACAUAACUCACUCCCCCACCCAUAGGUAUUUAAUUUGGAACAAUUACAAUAUACUUUUUAAAAAGAUAUCCUUAUUUUUUGAGAGAUGGUUUUUAGCAGGCAUAAUACAGUCAGUUAUUAAAUCAAGAAGGAAAGUUGCUCACUUAUUCUGAGUUUCUAGCUGUUUAGCACUUGUGGGGUGCCAUCAGUGACACCUGCUGGGUCCUGCCAGGCGGCCCCCUGUCCAGGGUCACUGAAUGUGACUGCAGCGAGAGGUAAUAAUCAGCCUGUUCAUCCAUCUUAGUUCAGACUCUGCUUAUGCUAGUUGUAGUUCUGUGAAGAAAAAAGAACACACAGAAAAGUGUGUUCAAAAGCAUAAGCAUGAGAUCAGGACUAAGAAAGUUAGACAUCAUCUCAAUAUGGGAGAACACAUACAGUCUUUGGACAGCAACUCCUCCAGCAGCUUGACAGCUGUGUUACAGGAUUCCUUCAUCCUGUAGUGUUUCUCUGCAGUCACUGUUGAGUGGGUCAGGUAUUCAGAAACCCUGCUCUUCUGCUACUCCGUCAGCCACUUGGUGGACGUCAGG